rnacentral:tRNA from 1 species
AGUGUGUUAGCUUAACAGGUUAAGUAUGGUUUUACGAGUGCCAGGGAUAUAAGUUCGAUUCUUAUACACAUUU